rnacentral:lncRNA from 1 species
GUACUUUCAAUACUUUGAUUUGUAAUUGUCUUAUUCAACCUUGUCAUAAAUACUAGUAUUUCAAUGUAAAUCUUAUAAUGUUUUAAAUUACUUAUAUGUUUUAUAUCUAUCCAUCUAUCAAUAUUCCGGUCUCUGCAGAACCCCUCGCGUGGACCAUGUAACAGUAGACAAAUAUGCUUAAACACACCUUUAAGAUGCUUGAUCUUUGUUUAUCUCUGUUUUAUAUGUUUUUGUAGGAAUUUAGCUAAUGGGCAUACGUUAACAUGUUAUAUUAAUCAAACCGUAUCUUGAUAUAUAACGUGGAUGGUGAUGACGAAUAUCUUUAUUCGUCAUAAUUUCACUGGAUAAAAACUUCCGGUACGAAUGCCUUGAGUUCAAAUUAAUAAUCAUACGUUAUGGCAGAGAAAAAGGAGGAUAAGCGUAAACCUUUAGGUUUGAAAACGGUAAAUGGAAAUCCAGGUUGUGUUUUUGUGGCAGAGAUAAAGUGUUGUGUAUAAGAUCACAGAUGGGUCCACGUGUUUUUAGAUUUCUACUGUAGCGUAAAAAGGUUGUGUUCAAGUGACAAAGUUCAAGAUCAAAGAAACAGAUCACGGGUGAAUGUGUUUUUUCAAAUAUGGAACAUUAAAUGUAUGUAUUUCCCCCUUUUUGUCUGGAAUUUUUAAGGCAAAACUGAUUUAUAUUUGCUUCUGUUCUUACACAUGCCUUUCUGUAUUUUAUACAAUCAACAGUGUUACUAUGGAAAUCGAUUCAGUAAUAUUGUUCAUGGAUUGCCUUCAUUGAUUUUGAGUCAUUUGUCUAAUAAAAGUGAUGUUGUCAUGAAAA